CAGGUACCUAUUUAAAGGGUAUUUUGUUCUUAGGAAAAUAUUUUGGUCUACAAAACUAGCUUUAUCCAACUAAGAAUACUAUAACCUUCUCAAAUACCUACAACAAUAGUUGGAAUUCAAAUUACAACUAAACUGUAAAUUUAAAUGCAAAGCAAUAUAAAAAACUUAAUUAUAAAUCAAAUUCAACUUUUAAAUAUAAAACACAAAUUUAAAAUAAAACUUCCAGUGCAAAUUCAAAAUUUUAAUUUAGAUCAAAAAUUAAAAUUUAGCUUUUAGAUUAAAAGUACAAUGUGAUUCAAAAUUUAAAAGUUUAAUAUAAAUUUUGAAAUUAAAAUUUUACAUUACAAUACCAACUUCAAAACUUAAAUUUAAAUUCAAUAUUUUUUUGAGUUGGAUACUUAACAAAUUGGGUAUUAUCUAAUUUGGUAAGUAACAAAACUAAAUAAGAUAUUUAAUAUUAUAGGAUGCUAACAAAUUUGAUAUAAUACUAAUUUUUUUCCAAUAUUGUCAUAUUAACUAAUUCAAAUCCGUAACAUGUUCAAUAGGUUACUUUAUGUAAAAUCCAACUAUACCCUUUACUAAUUAAGAAUUUGAUUUUAAUACUUAUGGUGUAUUGAAGCAUUGCUCAAAAAUAAAAGCAUUGAAUAGAUUCUAUUAAAUAGUAAGUUAUCUAUAAACAUAUAUUAAUCCCCAAUACUUUUUGCUGAGGUAGCACAACCUUCUUAUUUUGAAGUUUUUUAAAAUUUUUAUUAUACUUUUUAUUAAACCUCCUCUCUCUUCCCCUUUUCCAUUCUCUCUCUUUCUGUUUUUCCCCGUCAAAUGACCCUCCACCUUCAUAUCCUCAGCUUCUUCUUCUUCUUCUUCUUCGAUCCUUUCUCCAAAGGCGAGCGAUGGCGAUGGGAGGGAUCUCAGGGAGGAAGAUGAAGAGAACUAUAAACAUAUAUUAAUCCCCAAUACUUUUUGCUGAGGUGGCACAACCUCCUUAUUUUGAAGUUUUUUUAAAAUUCUUAUUAUAUUUUUUAUUGAACCGUUUUAUAUCCCUCCAUCUUCUCUCUUAAGCCUUAUUCACAUCCCUCCAUCUUCUCAUAACAUCUUUUUACCCCAUUUCUCUUCCCCUUUUCCAUUAUCUCUCUUUAUGUUUUUCCCCGUCAGAUGACCCUCCACCUUCAUCUCCUCGGCUUUUUCUUCUUCUUCGAUCCUUUCUCCAACGGCGAGCGAUGGCGAUGGGAGGGAUCUCAGGGAGGAAGAUGAAGAGAACUGUAAGGACUGAGAUUUUGGCAGUGUAGCUAAAACCUCUAUUGAUGAUAUUUUUGUGUGUAAUUUAAUUACAUAAACACUCGUCAAGUUUCAAGAGAAAACGAGUUAGAACGGAGA
rnacentral:lncRNA from 1 species